rnacentral:rRNA from 1 species
AGAGUUUGAUCCUGGCUCAGGAUGAACGCUAGCGGCAGGCCUAACACAUGCAAGUCGAGGGGCAUCGGGAUUGAAGCUUGCUUCAAUUGCCGGCGACCGGCGCACGGGUGCGUAACGCGUAUGUAACCUACCUAUAACAGGGGCAUAACACUGAGAAAUUGGUACUAAUUCCCCAUAAUAUUCGGAGAGGCAUCUCUCCGGGUUGAAAACUCCGGUGGUUAUAGAUGGACAUGCGUUGUAUUAGCUAGUUGGUGAGGUAACGGCUCACCAAGGCAACGAUACAUAGGGGGACUGAGAGGUUAACCCCCCACACUGGUACUGAGACACGGACCAGACUCCUACGGGAGGCAGCAGUGAGGAAUAUUGGUCAAUGGGCGGAAGCCUGAACCAGCCAUGCCGCGUGCAGGAAGACGGCUCUAUGAGUUGUAAACUGCUUUUGUACGAGGGUAAACUCACCUACGUGUAGGUGACUGAAAGUAUCGUACGAAUAAGGAUCGGCUAACUCCGUGCCAGCAGCCGCGGUAAUACGGAGGAUCCAAGCGUUAUCCGGAUUUAUUGGGUUUAAAGGGUGCGUAGGCGGUUUGAUAAGUUAGAGGUGAAAUCCCGGGGCUUAACUCCGGAACUGCCUCUAAUACUGUUAGACUAGAGAGUAGUUGCGGUAGGCGGAAUGUAUGGUGUAGCGGUGAAAUGCUUAGAGAUCAUACAGAACACCGAUUGCGAAGGCAGCUUACCAAACUAUAUCUGACGUUGAGGCACGAAAGCGUGGGGAGCAAACAGGAUUAGAUACCCUGGUAGUCCACGCAGUAAACGAUGAUAACUCGUUGUCGGCGAUACACAGUCGGUGACUAAGCGAAAGCGAUAAGUUAUCCACCUGGGGAGUACGUUCGCAAGAAUGAAACUCAAAGGAAUUGACGGGGGCCCGCACAAGCGGAGGAACAUGUGGUUUAAUUCGAUGAUACGCGAGGAACCUUACCCGGGCUUGAAAGUUACUGACGAUUCUGGAAACAGGAUUUCCCUUUGGGGCAGGAAACUAGGUGCUGCAUGGUUGUCGUCAGCUCGUGCCGUGAGGUGUCGGGUUAAGUCCCAUAACGAGCGCAACCCCUACCGUUAGUUGCCAUCAGGUCAAGCUGGGCACUCUGGCGGGACUGCCGGUGUAAGCCGAGAGGAAGGUGGGGAUGACGUCAAAUCAGCACGGCCCUUACGUCCG